GCUCGUAGCGAUUGUCGCGUCUGCUGUGAAAACUCGGGCUACCCCGGGCCUGCAGUGGGUACGAGCAGACUAGAGUGCGGUAGGGAGACUGGAAUCCCUGUGUAGCGUGAAAUGCGCAGAUAUCAGGAGAACACCGGUGGCGAGCGGGUCUCUGGGCCGUAACUGACGCUGAGGAGCGAAAGCGUGGGGAGCGAACAGGAUUAGAUACCCUGGUAGUCACGCCGUAAACGUUGGGCGCUAGGUGUGGGGCUCUUUCCACGAGUUCCGUGCCGCAGCAAACGCAUUAAGCGCCCCGCCUGGGGAGUACGGCCGCAAGGCUAAAACUCAAAGGAAUUGACGGGGGCCCGCACAAGCGGCGGAGCAUGCGGAUUAAUUCGAUGCAACGCGAAGAACCUUACCAAGGCUUGACAUGGGCAGAAAUCCGGCAGAGAUGUCGGGUCCGCAAGGGCUGCUCACAGGUGGUGCAUGGUUGUCGUCAGCUCGUGUCGUGAGAUGUUGGGUUAAGUCCCGCAACGAGCGCAACCCUCGUUCUAUGUU
rnacentral:rRNA from 1 species